rnacentral:rRNA from 1 species
GUCGAUAAUCUACCGUGAAGUCUGGAAUAACCUUGGGAAACUGAGGAUAAUACCGGAUAGGGAAUUUUGUGUGAAAUUCUAGUAUUCCCUAAAGCUUCGGUGCUUCACGAUGGGUCGGCGGCGGAUUAGGUUGUUGGUGAGGUAAUGGCUCACCAAGCCUGCGAUCCGUAAGGGCCUUGAGAGAGGGAGCCCUGAGAAGGACACUGCGAUACUGGUCCUAGCCCCACGGGGUGCAGCAGUUACGAAACCUUCGCAAUGCACGCAAGUGUGACGAGGGGAUUCUGAGUGCUUAGGAAUUUCCUAGGCUUUUUUUCGAGAGUGAAUAUCUCGGAGAAUAAGUGGUGGGAAAGACUGGUGCCAGCCGCCGCGGUAACACCAGCGCCACGAGUGGGAACCGCUUUUAUUGGGUCUAAAGCGUCCGUAGCUGGUUCAUUAAAUGCUCUGUGAAAUCGUCAUGCUCAACGUGACGGCGUGCAGGGUAGACUGAUGAUCUAGGGACCAGGAGGGGUAGAGAGUAUUCCCGGGGUAGCGGUAAAAUGCGAUAAUCCUGGGAGGACUACCUAUGGCGAAGGCACUCUACCAGAAUGGAUCCGACAGUGAGGGACGAAAGCUAGGGGAGCAAAUCGGAUUAGAUACCCGAGUAGUCCUAGCUGUAAACGCUGCAGGCAAGAUGUUGCACAAUUUACGGGAUUGUGCAGUGUCGAAACGAAGGUGUUAAGCCUGCCACCUGGGAAGUACGGUCGCAAGGCUGAAACUUAAAGGAAUUGGCGGGGGAGCACCACAAGGGGUGCGGCGUGCGGUUUAAUCGAAUUCAACGCCGAGAAUCUCACCAGGGGCGACGGCAGGAUGAUACACAGUCUGAAGGGCUUUGUUGACGAGCCGAGAGGUGGUGCAUGGCCGCCGUCAGCUCGUGCCGUGAGGUGUCCUGUUAAGUCAGGCAACGAGCGAGACCUGUAUCCAUACUUGCUCACGCGUCCGCAAGGAUGAGCGAGCACACUAUGGAGACUGCCUUCGAAAGGAGGAGGAAGGUGCAGGCUACGGCAGGUCUGUAUGCCCCGAAUCUUCUGGGCUACACGCGCGCAACAAUGGUCGUGACAAUGGGAUGCAACUCUGAAAAGAGAAGCCAAUCCUCGAAACACGACCUCAGUACGAAUCGAGGGUUGCAACUCACCCUCGUGAAGUCGGAAUCCCUAGUAAUCAGACGUUAGCAUCGUCUGGUGAAUAUGUCCCUGCUCCUUGCACACACCGCCCGUCAAAUCAACCGAGCAGGGUCUCGGUGAGCCGUAGUUAUUUUGACUACGCCGAACCGGGGCUCAGUGAGGUGGGUUAAGUCGUCACAAGGUA